rnacentral:rRNA from 1 species
UACGGAAGGCAGCAGUGGGGAAUAUUGCACAAUGGGCGCAAGCCUGAUGCAGCCAUGCCGCGUGUAUGAAGAAGGCCUUCGGGUUGUAAAGUACUUUCAGUCGUGAGGAAGGUGUUAAGGUUAAUAACCUUAGCAAUUGACGUUAGCGACAGAAGAAGCACCGGCUAACUCCGUGCCAGCAGCCGCGGUAAUACGGAGGGUGCGAGCGUUAAUCGGAAUUACUGGGCGUAAAGGGCACGCAGGCGGUUAAUUAAGUUGGAUGUGAAAUCCCCGGGCUUAACCUGGGAAUGGCAUUCAAGACUGGUUAGCUAGAGUCUUGUAGAGGGGGUAGAAUUCCAUGUGUAGCGGUGAAAUGCGUAGAGAUGUGGAGGAAUACCGGUGGCGAAAGGCGGCCCCUGGACAAAGACUGACGCUCAUGUGCGAAAAGCGUGGGGAGCAAAAC